rnacentral:lncRNA from 1 species
GCCAAAUUUAGAUAUAAAAGUAGCAGAAACAUUAGAAAAAAGCAAAAAUCACGAGUAAAUGAGUCCUUAGACAGACUUCAGCAUAAGUUAUAACAUAAGCUUAUACGGCCUCCUACGUACUACAAGUUCCGUCGUAAGUUAUAACACAAGCAUAGUAGAACAUCAGUGGAAUAGCGGAAACCUCCACAGACCAGCAAGGCUAAAAUCUACUUAACAGCAACAGCACCAUCCGGACCAAUAUUUUGGAGUGGCUGCCUGCAUAGCAGACAGAGUUUCUUCUUCUGGAUCUCUUGCCCGCUGGUAGCACCCACCUCAACUGAUGGAAACUCUGUCGAUUUGCCAAGCUGAUGGAAAAAAAGGUUAGAAAUUGAAAAAACACUGCAUUGUUGAGAGAAAGAGAACGGAUCCGCUUGCUCACCUCAUUUGCCCUGGCCUCAUUUGCCCUGCUUCUCGCUGUCCUCCCGCAAUAAUUUCCAACUAUCUCCUCAUGCGUCAUGUCGAAAAACUGGUUUAGCCCAACCCGGCAACGUGGUCCCUUAACCAUUCGCUUCUUUGCACGGAACUUGUUUAUAAAGUCAAUUCUUUUGCAAAAGAUUGCAAAUCGUCGCUCCUUCUCUGCAGCAUCCGGAUACGUGCGUUUCUACUUUCUGAUACAUAGCUCAAACCUCCCACGCCUCACCAUUUCUGUCGCCCAAGAGACGGCCUUGCCGGUGAGUCCAUUGGCAAAGGUAUUCAUGCUGCUGCUGAGAUGGAAAAUAAUUGUUUGUUUCGGUAGAUCGAAAAUAGAGACUCCAAGGAGAAAAAGAAAUCCAAUAGACACAUAGUAUGAGGAAAUCAAUAGAAUUCGAAUGAAAAGUACUCGGGCAGUAUUCAUUUAGAAAUGAAAUCUUUUUAUUUCUAAAAACUUGUUGAGAAAUACUCCAAAAUCUUUCAGAAUUAUUUACUUAAAAUUGCAUUAACUAGUAGAAUCAAACAAUAGGUAAACAAGAUCUGCAAUCUCUAUAAUUCUAGAAUUUGCAGCAGCCGGAUAGGACAUAAAGAAGAUAAAGUCGAAUGUGAUAACCCUAAAGAGGAAAAUAUGAUUCAACACAUCUGACUUGCAUCUGACUUGCAUCAGGUGUACGACAAAAGCAGACGCAUAAAAAUUAGGUCAGAAAAUGAAACUAAUCACAAACAUGUCAAAUUAAAGUUGAGAAAACACGUAAAUGUUUUCCGGACAAAAGAUAACCAUCAGAGACCCUAAUAAAAUAACAGAACCCUUAUGUCCUAUGUAUUAUGUAUCCAAAUGCCAUAGAAACAUAGAUCACAUCAAUCGUACGACUCCAAAAUGCUUGGUCAAAACAAAAAAACGAAUGCAUAGAGAUAAAAAAGAAGUAAACUCUGGUUUGUGUUAGCAAAUCGGUUUAGACCAAAUAGCGAACGAAAAGAUAUGGGAGUCUAUUUAAAGGGGAAAAAAAAUAUGAUUAAUUAAUUAUUAAUCGAGAGAACAAUUAAUAGCGAACUAUUCAAGAUACAUUGGAGCGUCUUCAAUAACAUUCACCCGAUAUAAAAAUAAAAUAAAAUCCCAAUAUAAUAAUAUAAGAUAAGCCCGAAGACUUCAUCUUCUCUAAAAUUAAAGAACAACAACGAGAGCCAUUAUCAAAGCCCAUCAGAGGGAACGCUUUGUUAGUUGGAUCACAAACUCAGAUCGAUAGAUGGUAAUAUUAGCAAAUAAACUACAAAUCCGUCCUUCGUAAGAGGAGCAAAUCAAAAUAAUUGAUGGUUCGUUUGGACGGAGAGAUUAAAAAAAAAAAAAAAAAAGAUUAGUCCAUUUCCAAAACCUUUUUAAAGAAUGGGUUCAUUCGAAUACCUUAAUAAGAGAGGGAGAUCGG